AUGUCAGGUGUGUCUGCUCCUAAAGUGAUCGUCCUGCCGCCGUCCAGUGAAGAGAUUUCCAGCAAGAAGACAGCAACAGUGAUGUGUGUGGCCAGCAAUGGUUUCCCUUCAGACUGGAGUCUGAGCUGGAAAGUGAAUGGGAAGAUGUCAGGAUCUCAGGAGAACAGAGCUGGAGUCCUACAGAAAGACGGCGGUCUGUACAGCUGGAGCAGCAGUCUGACUCUCACUGAACAAGAAUGGAUCAACAGAGACUCAGUGAUCUGUGAGAUCAGUCGGGAAGGUCAGACAGUCACUGGAGAAGUGAAGAAAGAUCUGUGUUCUGAGUAGAUCCUCUCUUCUUCUCAUCUCUUCUUCUCAUUCAUGUCUCACAUCAACAGUGAACAACUAUUCAUACAACACUCUGUCUCUCUGCUUUAUUCAUUCUGUCUGCUUUUCAAUAAAGAAAUAUUAAAUAUU